GAUGAACGCUGGCGGCGUGCCUAACACAUGCAAGUCGAGCGAUCUUCUUCGGAAGAGAGCGGCGGACGGGUGAGUAACGCGUGGGUAACCUACCCUGUACACACGGAUAACAUACCGAAAGGUAUGCUAAUACGAGAUAAUAUGCUUUUGUCGCAUGGUAGAAGUAUCAAAGCUUUUGCGGUACAGGAUGGACCCGCGUCUGAUUAGCUAGUUGGUAAGGUAACGGCUUACCAAGGCUACGAUCAGUAGCCGACCUGAGAGGGUGAUCGGCCACAUUGGAACUGAGACACGGUCCAAACUCCUACGGGAGGCAGCAGUGGGGAAUAUUGCACAAUGGGCGAAAGCCUGAUGCAGCAACGCCGCGUGAGCGAUGAAGGCCUUCGGGUCGUAAAGCUCUGUCCUCAAGGAAGAUAAUGACGGUACUUGAGGAGGAAGCCCCGGCUAACUACGUGCCAGCCGCCGCUGUAA
rnacentral:rRNA from 1 species